CUAAAACUUGUACAAUUCUUUUUUGCUUUGAUUUAAUGAGUCUUAAACAGAAGAAACUCCUGUACUUUUUUUUCUUCCUAGGCUGCUCCAAACUAAAACCUGCCAAUUACAGAAGUCACAGCAUACAUUUAUAGAAAAAACUUCCUGCCCUUCAAAACUGUUUAAUUAUAAGGAGAUUGUGUAUCGGUUAGCACUUGGUAUCAGAAAGGCCAUUGCUAACACUGUAUCAGGCUGUCUCAGACUCUUUCUCAGACCUACUGGCAAUCUGAAAAUGAAUGUUCUGGAUGUACUGAGCUAACAUAAGUGCUUAGUGAUAAGUGCAAAUGUUACUGUAAAGUGAGAAGGCUUGUUAACACAAAGAAACCUUUCAAUUCUGGUCUACGCUAAUAUCACUGUUUAAAAAACACAGAUCUCUAAGAGAGAGCAAUAGGUGUGCACCUGCUCCUAGUAGUUACUACUGUUACGAAGGCACUAAUAAGCAGGAUCCACACUUUAGUUUUAAUGUGCUCAAGAAUGUGAUUUGGAGUCAUUAUUACAGUAUGAACUGAUUUUUUUUUUAGAAGGUUUCUUGCAAAGGACAGUGAUGUCAGACAGUUGGUACCUGCCCCUUCAGAAGACAGAGGAUUGCCAAGUUUCCCUAAGAGAAACACAAGCAUGGAAUUUCUGGAAGAUGUUGUAUUUAUAAAUGUAAGCUGUCUCUGCCUCACCACUGGCUGAGAAUCCCAAGGAAGUCUUCCUGAAGAUCUGCUGGUGUUAACAAUUAUUUGACUGUACCAUGAUAUUUCUUCAGUGAUAAGCAAGAAAUCAUCAAAGUCAAAACCAACAAAGUCUGUAAAUCUUUGUUGUGGAAUGAAAUGUCACAUGCUACUUGAAGGCAUUCUCAGAGAGUGGUACAGAAAACUUCAGAGUGAACAGUCUCAAUUCAUUCACAAUUGCCUGAUUCACUUUAAUGCAAGUCCUCCAAUGGUAUCUGUUCUAUUAUAUCACUACUGCAGACUGAAAGUCUUUAUGUCAUGAAGAACCUGGAAGCCUAGAAAGAAUGAGUACUCUUGUAAUAGAGUCAAAUCUGAUUCACUAAUCAAAAUUGUAUCAUAUCAGGAGAGUUUGCUCAAAAAAAGAUAUAUUUUGGAUGGAUUUUGAAUUUUGAGAAGUUCUUCAGUACUUCUGAAGUUACAUAUUCAGGAAAUGGUUUUAGGUAAUAAUUCUUAAUGUGAAUUUAUUUUCAAAUAUGGUUAUAGUAUUUGUUUCAGUAAGGAAAAGUAGUAUUUGGAGGAUCACAGUAUCACAGAAUGGAAAGGGUGGAAUGGACUUGUGGAGAUUAUAUGGUCUAAACUCACUGCUCCAUCACCUGCACAAUAAAGAAGUGCUUCCUGAUGUUUACCUCUUAUGUUUCAGUUUUUGCCCAUUGCCUCUUACGCCGCCAUUGGGCACCACAGAGAAGAGCCUGGAUCUGCCAUCUUUGUACCCUCUUUUCAGAUUUUUACAGACACUGGUACGAUCCCCUCAGAAUCUUCUCUGUGCUGAACAGCCCCAGCACCCCCACUCAGCUGCUCCUUGUAGGAUACACGUUCCAAUUCAUCAUUUUUGUGGCCCUUUGUUGGGCUCUCUAAUAAUUUCACAUCUCUCUUGUAACGAGGAGCACAGAAUGGGAUGCAGCACUUCAGGUGUGGCUGAGUAGAGCACAAAGGAUCAUGUCCCUCAACCUGCUGGCAGCAGUUAGUCUAAGGCAGCCCUGGAUACCGGUAAGCCUCUUAGUGGCAAAGCUGCACUGCUCUUUGGACCCCCAGGUCUUUUUCUGCAGAGCAUCAUUCUGUCUGGGUGGCCCCCAACAAGCCCUGGUGCCUGGGGUUGUUCCUCCCUACCUGCAUGACUCUGCACUUCUCUUUGUAGAACUUCGUUUCUGCCAGCCCAUUUCUUGAGCCUGUUAAGGUCCCUCUGAAUGGUAACACAACUUUCUCAGGUAUCUGUCUGUCUUCUAGUAUUGUCUACAACUUACCAAGGGUGUGCUCUGUCCCACUGUCCAGAUUAAUGAAGAUCUUAAACAGGACUGGACCCAGUAUUCACCCCUGAAGUACUCUGCUCAUUACUAAAGGCCUCCAGUUAGACUUUACACCACUGAUUGCUACCCUCUCAAGUCCAGCUGUUCAGCCAGUUUUUGAUCCGCCUCUCUGGCUGCACAUUCAGCUCAUAUUUCAACAGCUUAUCUGUCGGGGUGUUGUGGGGGACAGUGUCAAAGGCCCUGCUGAGUCCAAGUAGAAAAUACAACUCCCAGUCCACCGGGCUGGUGAUUUUAUCAAAGAAGCUGAGCGAGUUGGUUAAGAAUGAUUUCCCUUUGGUGAAUUCUUGCUGACUAUUCCUAAGGAUUUUCUUGAAACUUAAAGGGAGAAGAUAGGAAUGAAUUCAACCAUUUGAGACUACAAGUAUAACUUAAAGUACUAUUUCAGUUGAUCUAUCAGCUGAAACACAUAUGCUUAGACAGAUAAACCCAUAUUUGGUGCAGGAAUGCUUGAAAUUCUUGAUCCUUUGUGUACCUUUUAAUGUACAACUAUUCUUACUUAGCUUUCUUAGAACUGUGCAGUAAAAUUAGGGUUAACAGCUUGGAAGUGACUACUGAAAGUUUUACUUUGAAAUGAGUGAUGCUGUUCGUAAGGCAUGGGCAGACUUCAGCAUGUGUCUGCACUGUAACAAAGUGUCAGUGUCAGUUCUUCUGUAGAGCAGUGGCAAGAGCUGUGUUGCAUAUCUCAGGAAAGAAUCUCUAGCGUUAUGGAGCAGGGAAGUCCUUUCUUUCCUGUUAAUUACAGUUGAUUAAAAACAAAACAAAACAAACAAACAAAAAAAAA